GAUGAACGCUGGCGGCGUGCCUAAUACAUGCAAGUCGAGCGAACGGACGAGAAGCUUGCUUUUCUGAUGUUAGCGGCGGACGGGUGAGUAACACGUGGAUAACCUACCUAUAAGACUGGGAUAACUUCGGGAAACCGGAGCUAAUACCGGAUAAUAUUUUGAACCGCAUGGUUCAAAAGUGAAAGACGGUCUUGCUGUCACUUAUAGAUGGAGCCGCGCUGCAUUAGCUAGUUGGUAAGGUAACGGCUUACCAAGGCAACGAUGCAUAGCCGACCUGAGAGGGUGAUCGGCCACACUGGAACUGAGACACGGUCCAGACUCCUACGGGAGGCAGCAGUAGGGAAUCUUCCGCAAUGGGCGCAAGCCUGACGGAGCAACGCCGCGUGAGUGAUGAAGGUCUUCGGAUCGUAAAACUCUGUUAUUAGGGAAGAACAUAUGUGUAAGUAACUGUGCACAUCUUGACGGUACCUAAUCAGAAAGCCACGGCUAACUACGUG
rnacentral:rRNA from 1 species